AUUUCUAUUAAUAUAGUUUAAAAACAUUACAUUUUCAUUGUAAAAUUAAAAUUAAGUUUUUAUUA
rnacentral:tRNA from 1 species